GGGUGGUAAUGCCGGAUGCUCCGACUCCUCGCAUGGGGUGUCGGGAAAGAUUCAUCGGUAUGGGAUGGGGUCGCGUCCUAUCAGGUAGUCGGCGGGGUAACGGCCCACCGAGCCUACGACGGGUAGCCGGCCUGAGAGGGCGACCGGCCACAUUGGGACUGAGAUACGGCCCAGACUCCUACGGGAGGCAGCAGUGGGGAAUAUUGCACAAUGGGCGCAAGCCUGAUGCAGCGACGCCGCGUGCGGGAUGACGGCCUUCGGGUUGUAAACCGCUUUUGAUCGGGAGCAAGCCUUCGGGUGAGUGUACCUUUCGAAUAAGCACCGGCUAACUACGUGCCAGCAGCCGCGGUAAUACGUAGGGUGCAAGCGUUAUCCGGAAUUAUUGGGCGUAAAGGGCUCGUAGGCGGUUCGUCGCGUCCGGUGUGAAAGUCCAUCGCUUAACGGUGGAUCUGCGCCGGGUACGGGCGGGCUGGAGUGCGGUAGGGGAGACUGGAAUUCCCGGUGUAACGGUGGAAUGUGUAGAUAU
rnacentral:rRNA from 1 species